CCUACGGGUGGCAGCAGUGGGGAAUAUUGCACAAUGGGGGAAACCCUGAUGCAGCGACGCCGCGUGAGGGAAGAAGUUUUUCGGUAUGUAAAGCUCUAUCAGCAGGGAAGAAAAUGACGGUAUCUGAGUAAUAAGCCCCGGCUAACUCCGUGCCAGCAGCCGCGGUAAUACGGAGGGGGCAAGCGUUAUCCGGAUUUACUGGGUGUAAAGGGAGCGUAGACGGCAGAACAAGUCUGGAGUGAAAUGCCGGGGCUUAACCCCGGAACUGCUUUGGAAACUGUGCAGCUAGAGUGCAGGAGAGGUAGGUGGAAUUCCUGGUGUAGCGGUGAAAUGCGUAGAUAUUAGGAGGAACACCAGUGGCGAAGGCGACUUACUGGACUGUAACUGACGUUGAGGCUCGAAAGCGUGGGGAGCAAACAGGAUUAGAUACCCGAGUAGUC
rnacentral:rRNA from 1 species